GCACGGGUGCGUAACGCGUAUACAAUCUGCCUUUCACAUAGGGAUAGCCCGAAGAAAUUUGGAUUAAUACCUAAUGGUAUAUUGGAGCGGCAUCGUUUUUAUAUUAAAGCUACGGUGGUGAAAGAUGAGUAUGCGUUCUAUUAGCUAGUUGGAGAGGUAACGGCUCCCCAAGGCGACGAUAGAUAGGGGUUCUGAGAGGGAUGUCCCCCACACUGGUACUGAGAUACGGACCAGACUCCUACGGGAGGCAGCAGUGAGGAAUAUUGGACAAUGGUCGGAAGACUGAUCCAGCCAUGCCGCGUGCAGGAUGAAGGUCCUAUGGAUUGUAAACUGCUUUUGUAAGGGAAGAAUAAGGGGUACGUGUACUUUGAUGACGGUACCUUACGAAUAAGCAUCGGCUAACUCCGUGCCAGCAGCCGCGGUAAUACGGAGGAUGCGAGCGUUAUCCGGAAUCAUUGGGUUUAAAGGGUCCGUAGGCGGGCUAAUAAGUCAGAGGUGAAAGCGUUCAGCUCAACUGAGCAACUGCCUUUGAAACUGUUAGUCUUGAAUGAUUGUGAAGUAGUUGGAAUGUGUAGUGUAGCGGUGAAAUGCUUAGAUAUUACACAGAACACCGAUAGCGAAGGCAUAUUACUAACAAUUUAUUGACGCUGAUGGACGAAAGCGUGGGGAGCGAACAGGAUUAGAUACCCUGGUAGUCCACGCUGUAAACGAUGGAUACUAGCUGUUUGGAGCAAUCUGAGUGGCUAAGCGAAAGUGAUAAGUAUCCCACCUGGGGAGUACGCACGCAAGUG
rnacentral:rRNA from 1 species